rnacentral:lncRNA from 1 species
CUCUGUAGUUCUGCUGUCAAGGUGAUUUGCCCAGUUUUCUUCGAGUGAUUUGGGCAAAUUACUGGGCAAAUCACUUUUGCUGUCAUUUUCUGCACUUUUUCUCCAACUCUUCAAUUUCUUCCUUUUCUACAAAAACAUAACAAAAACACAAUUUAAGCUAGAAAAAUAUGUGAAUAAACAGUAAAUAAUAUAUUAAAAACAUGGCUAAAUUAUGCUUGAUCAAAUACCCCCACACCUAGCUUUUUGCUUGUCCUCAAGCAAACAAUAACUUAGCCAAUCAAGUUCCUUUUUCCUUAGAGCCUAAGUACCACUUAAUCAGCCCCCCCUAGACUCCUAAUCUGAAUUAUCACAGUAUAGAGUACAUGCACUAAGGUCAUCCUCUCAUUUCCUUGUUUCCUUUCACCUACCAUGGUCAAGAGAAAGGUUUUUGAAUCAAUCAUGCUUAUUCCUUUAUGUUAGUUUUAAUGCAACCCCUAGAAGUGACCUGCCAUCUUCUCUCUUUCUCCUUUUUAUUUAAUUUAUAUUUUUAUUUUCAGCAGCACUUAUUCUUAUCCUUGCCUGAAAAAGUCACUAACCUUUUUACGCGAUUGUGUACAUGGGUGAUACACCCCCGGUUACUCAGUUAGUCACUUGUUCAAGUGGCUACUAGCUCUGUUCAUAGUCUAGACCAUCGAAACUUAUUCGCUUGAAAAAGUUACUGACCUUUUUACGCGAUUGUGUACAUGGGUGAUACACCCCCGGUUACUCAGUUAGUUACUUCUCCAAGUGGCUAUUAGGCUCAGUUCAUAGUCUUAGACCAUUGGAACAAGUUUGUGAUUUGUGCUUUGUGCUGGUUUUUCAUGAUAAUUUGGGCAAAUCAGCUCAUAGGGAGUUACACUCACUUUGUGUUUGCAUGUAUUUGUAUUUUAAUUUCCCUUGACCUUAGCAAAUUUAAGGAUUCAAUUCAAGAGAAAAACUCCCUAAGUGAAGGUAACAUACUGUGAAUGAUUCAAUUUAGGCUUAAAGGGGUGGUAGAUCAAUGGGGUCAUGAGAUAAGGAAACUCUUUUAACCUUGUUAUCUAAGUUGAGUAGAGCAAAAACCAAGACAAAAUUCUGUGUGUGUGUGCAAAACGUGUGAAAAAAUUCUGGUGUGUGCAAAAAGGGGUAAGAAUAAUGCAAAAAGAAAAAAGAAACAAAAAGAAACAAAAAGAAACAAAAAGAAAUCAAAAAGAAAUAAAAAAGAAAUCAAAAGAUGGUGUGAUCAGUGAAUAAAUACUCUCCAGUACCCCCACACCUAUCCCACAUAUUGUCCUCAAUGUGUGAAUAAACAUAUAGAAAAAUGAAGGAGAAAAGGGAAAGAUAUUUCCUGGCCUGGGGGUGAUUUGACCAGUGACUUGGGCAAGCACUGGGCAAAUCACUGGGCAAAUCGCUAUCUGUCACGGUGCUGGGGCAGAAAAAUGUUGAACCAGCAGCUGCAACAUGCUUUCCAUGUGCUGCAUCCUGUCUUGAGCCUCCGCCGAAUGGUCUUGAGGUGCCUUUUAUGUCCUCCAAGGUCCACCCAAUUUCUUUUUUGUGCUUCCUUAACACAUCAAGGAGCUUUUCUUCUUCUUUUUGGCUGAGCUGGUUGGAAAUAUUUACUGGAAGUGUAUUUCCAGC